CGGACAUGCACGACGAUGACGUCACGUGGCCGAGAGGCAGUGCAGUAAAGACUGGCAGGAGAGGCUACUGUAGGCGCGACGCUAUAGAGACACAGCCAUCAUGAGAAAGACACCUUGAUCAUGGCUCUAUAAGGGGUCCCACAAACCAGGUUCCUGUGCAAAGCUCAAGGCAUGGUUGCUGGGAGGAAGGCUUAUCCAGCAUGUCACAUUCAUUCUGUCCGGGGACGCAGAAGACUCGUCGCCUCUGAACGCCCGGAACACACUUGACGGAACACUGCGCAAAAGAAAGUGACGGCGACUGGUGAAAGCCCAGGUACACAAAACCACGAGCUGCAAUUAACCCCAUAUGAUGGUCAAGAGGACUGUCACUUCUUGCUAGAGUGCCUGGCGUCCGAAUCAUGACUUUGACUCUCGAUGAACCACUUGGACGUCGAAGCGAGAGAGCGGGAACACCGAGCCGCAAG